rnacentral:rRNA from 1 species
CCUACGGGCGGCAGCAGUGAGGAAUAUUGGUCAAUGGGCGCGAGCCUGAACCAGCCAAGUCGCGUGAAGGAUGACUGCCCUACGGGUUGUAAACUUCUUUUAUAAAGGAAUCAAGUGAGGCACGUGUGCCUUUUUGUAUGUACUUUAUGAAUAAGGAUCGGCUAACUCCGUGCCAGCAGCCGCGGUAAUACGGAGGAUCCGGGCGUUAUCCGGAUUUAUUGGGUUUAAAGGGGGCGUAGAUGGGUUUUUAAGUCAGUUGUGAAAGUUUGCGGCUCAACCGUAAAAUUGCAAUUGAUACUGGAAGCCUGGAGUACAGUUGAGGUAGGCGGAAUAAGUGGUGUAGCGGUGAAAUGCUUAGAUAUAACGAAGAACUCCGAUUGCGAAGGCAGCUUACUAAACUGCCACUGACAUUGAUGCUCGAAAGUGUGGGUAUCAAACAGGAUUAGAUACCCGUGUAGUC